rnacentral:lncRNA from 1 species
CACCCUUGCUCACGAGGCUUUAAUACAUGGCGGCGCAGUUUUUGCGGACCGCCCACCGGCUGUUCCUACGAGAAAAAUUUUAACUAGUAAUCAGCAUAAUAUUAGUUCUUCCUUUUACGGUCCAACAUGGCGACUUCUGCGGCGUAACCUCACGGCGGAAAUCCUCCACCUAUCGCGUGUGAAAUCUUACAGUCAUGCACGCAACUGGGUUCUGAAAAUCCUCCAGAAUCGCUUCGAAUCUCAAUCGAAAGCCGGUCGUCCUGUUUGUGUAAUGGAACAUUUUCAAUAUGCCAUGUUUUGUCUACUCGUCCUGAUGUGUUUUGGAGACAAGCUUGAUGAAAAUCAGAUAAAAAAAAUCAUGGAAGUUCAGCGACAAAUGAUAGUGAAUUUUAGUAAGUUCAACAUACUCAAUUUCUGGCCAGGAGUGACAAAGAUCGUGUUGCGCAACCGUUGGAGGGAGUUGUUAUCCCAUCGAAAAUGCCAAGAAGAUGUCUUGAUUCCAUUGAUAAGAGCAAGAAAGAAGGCCAAGGAAGAGAGGGUAAAAAAAAGUGAAGAGGACAAGAAAGACUAUGAAGAUGAGUAUGUUUUGUGCUAUGUUGACACCAUACUGGCUUUGGAGCUCCCGGAAGAGAAAAGAAAGCUCACCGAAGGGGAAAUGGUCAGUCUGUGCUCUGAGUUUCUCAACGCAGGAACAGAUACUACUUCGACAGCGUUGCAGUGGAUCAUGGCAAAUCUAGUUAAGCACCCGCAAAUCCAAGAGAAGCUAUUGAUGGAGAUUAAAGGGGUUGUGCAAGAUGGUGAAGAGAAUAUAAAAGAAGAGGACUUGCAAAAGAUGCCAUAUCUAAAAGCAACAAUUCUAGAAGGGUUGAGGCGGCACCCGCCAGCCCAUUUCGUACUGCCACAUGCGGUGACUGAAGAUGUAGUGCUGGGUAAAUAUGUGGUACCAAAAGAUGGAACUAUAAAUUUUAUGGUGGCUGAGAUGGGGUGGAAUCCGGAGGUGUGGGAGGAUCCUAUGGCGUUCAAGCCUGAAAGGUUUCUAAAUAGCGGAGGGGAAACAUUUGAUAUAACAGGAAGUAGAGAGAUAACGAUGAUGCCAUUUGGGGCUGGGAGGAGAAUUUGUCCUGCUUAUGGUCUAGCAAUACUCCAUCUGGAGUACUUUGUAGCUAAUUUGAUUUGGAGAUUUGAGUGGAAAGCUGUGGAUGGAGAUGAUGUUGAUUUGACGGAGAAAGAAGAAUUCACAGUAGUGAUGAAAAAUCCAUUACAGGCUCAAAUAUGCCCACGGUUGAAAUAAAUGAUUAGGUUUAUUAUUAUUAUUAUUAUUAUUAUUAUUAUUAAAAGAUAAGGUUGAUUUUGUUUAGUUGGACGAUAGCUCUUCAUGUAAGAUGUAACUCUACUGGUUUAUCAAGUCCGAUGCUCCUAUGUUUGUGUGAUAUUUCUCCUCUUGUUUAAAUCUGAUUCCAUUAUAUCAAUAUUCUAUAGGAUGCUAAUUUCCACCAUAAUUAUUUCUGUUUAUGUUAUUCUUUGCUUGUAAAUGUUUAUUCGUUUUUCCUCAGGGUUGCAGAAGCUAGGAAAUUAAUGGAUCCCUAGUUUCUGGCAAACUUGAAGCAGUAUUCUUCCUUUAAAAGUAGAAUUAGUGGCUGCUUUUCGAGGCUUGUCUGGAUGACUCGUCCAUGUAUAGAUAGCGCUUUGAAAUGUCAAUGAUGCAAGUCUUCAAAUUACAAAGACAUUAAGCUGUGAAUGACAAGACGGUGGGCCCACGGAUGCCACGGGACCAACAGCUGUGGCUGUCUGUGGUAAAUUCCUAAUGCACUAUCAAAUAAUAUAUAUAAUAUAGAUGGAAUGCGAAAAGUUAGGGGUAUGAUUUAACUGGUUAUAUUUUAGAUUUAUUUUUUAAAAAUUAUUAAUUUAAAUUUAUAAAUUUAUAAUAUUAAAAAUUUAUAUAUUAUUAAUUUUAGAAUUUAUAAGAUUAAUUAAAUAUAUAUAAAUUUAUUUGUACAUCCAUAUAAUAAUAAUAAAUAAAAAGAUAGAUGAAAUGUGUACCUAACAUUUUAAAGGGCAAAAGAAAAUGAAUGGAAUGGAGACUCCUGAGUUGAGGAGAAAGUGAAAGGAAACAUUCUUUAAUGGAAAUUCACUCUCAAUUUUUCUGUGAUCUGUAAAGCCCAGCUAAGAGAGAAAAUAAAUAUCUCUAUAAAACAAUUGAACAGAAAAAACUAUUAUGCAUCAAGCAAAAUAUCUCCUUUUUAAUAAUAAAUGGCAUUUUUUUCGAGAGAAAAUAAUAUUUUUCCAAAUAUAGAUUAAUAUUAUAUUUAUUAGUUUUAUAUGAAUAAGUUAAAUAAAUAGCUGGAAAUUAAUUUAUACUGGUUACUAAACAUUUUAUUUUUAAUAAAUAGUUAUUUCAUCUUUGGAUAGCAUGUAAGCUAAAAUUCAAUAUAUAUGACUAGAUAAUGUUGUUGAAAACAUUAGAUAUUUUAUGAUGUGGUCCCUAUUUACAGUACCUAAUAUACCCUCUCAUGUUCCUUGUCCUCUCUUUAUCUCACCACAUUCUAAAGCCUUCUAUCUCUUUCUCAUUUUUUUUAUUCUUCAAUCUUUUUCUUUUUUCUCUUAGUUAUCUGGGUAAGGGGUUAGAAAAUAUCUUUUAAUAUUUGUUAACAAAAUGUUAGGUAUAAUAUCUUUUUUGAUGUCUCAUAUGUAAAUAACUUUACAUUUAGGUGUUUGUAUAUAUUAUAAUUGAACAAAGGUCAAGUUUAACCGUUAAACUUGGUAUGUGCAAUGUACUACAAGUAUUUAAUAAUAUUCUUUCUACAUCGUAUAUGUCUAGACUUACAUUGAUUGAAUAUUACAACUUAUACAAAUUGCAAGCAUUGAUCUUGAGAUCUCCAGUCUUAGAGCAACUUCAAUGUUCAUUUUCUAAAAAAUAUGUUAAAAAUCAGUAUCAAACAUUUUUUUUUUUCCUUUUACUCAUUCUUGGCUCAACUUAAUCAUCUUUCAAUUUAUGAUGACUAACUUGAGCUAGUUUCAAUUUAUUUUAUCCCCCCUUGCUCCUAAAAAUUCUUGAAAAUCAUUUUAGUCCUUACAUUUUAGAUAUCUUUUUUAUAUAUAUUGUAGGGAGAUCUUGGCAAGCUAAUUAGAAUUGAUAGAGAUAAAACUAGAAAAAGAAGUUACCACCUAACUCUAUAUAACUAGAAAAGAAAACCCUAACUAGUUUUUAAAAGUUCUAGAUAAGAGACUGAUUAUAUAAUAGGAAAAUAUAAUAAUUACCAUAAAAUAUUUUUUUCUAAAGUAAGCUGCUUUGCAUUUGUUUUUAAUAAAAAAAAAAUGCAUCUAUUAUGGUUAUAAUUUAUCUAAACUAUGUGUGUGUUUAUGGUAGAAGACUACUAAAACCUAAUAUAAUGACUUAAGACAUGAACCUAGCAAUAAGACUUAACCUUAAUUAUUGAAAUACAAGCAUUGGAUCUAAAAGAUAGUAAUGAUAAUUAUGCUUUGGUCUAUUUUAUUUAAUGAUAUUAAAAAAAAAACUUGAAGGCCGCCAAACACACACGUACUUACUCUGAUCAUGUUGUUCCAGCCCAAAUUCACUCAUAAAAAAGAGUUUUAUGACCUAAUCUAGUAAAACAACUAAACAAACAUCCACACAAAUUAAACAUUAAGAUUUAAUAAACAAUAAAUAUAGCCAUAUAAAUUAUACUUCGAAACCAAAGUCCAAAAUAAUAUAUACGAAACUUCUAUUACACAUUUCAACCCACAUAUGCAUAUUCACACACACACAAAAUAAUAAUAAAAAAAAAUUAACAAUUUUGUCUUUGAAUCUAAAAUGAAAUUUUCGCAAAAAAAUGGAUUGCCUCUCAUCUUUAUGCGACGCAAAUCCCAUCACAGUAUCUAGUUAUGGAAAUUCCAUGGCCAAUUAGGUCCUAUCCCAGAAGCUACAAGGAAUAUUCAAGACCUACUCUGCUGGGCAAUUUGAAGAUUUCUUGGCACUCGGUCUCGUGACAAAAACAACAUUUUAAUCAAGAGUUGCACCUCAAAUUCAUCAACGUCAAAAUCCAAAGUAAUUUAUCUCUCUGUCGUGGCUUGUGCUGCAAAUUGAAAUGCGUUGCUCUGUUCUUGACUGCCAAGAAAACUGCUUGUCGUGAACGUCACGCUCCUGUUACAAUCUAUUAGUCAAUUCAUCUUGACAAAAAAAAACUCCAUAUUGUUGACUUUUGAGACUUUAUAAUUUUCUAUCUUGAACAAAUUAAUGGUCUCUUUCUCCGAUGACAAGAUAUUCAAACAAAAAUAAUAACUAACAAAGACAGAGUAAAGUAAUCUAGAUUGAAACAAGUAAAAUGGAAUUAAUCUUAAGACACCUUUUUUUUAUAUAAUGAAACAAUCAGCUUUGAAAUCUGAAACUCUUAAUUUAAAAUAAAAUUUUAAUUUAUUUUUUACUCAAAACACCUAGAAAAUAUCCUUAGAUAUUGUUAAAUCAAUUUAUAGCCUCUAAAAACACAAAAAACCAUCCAAAAACCCAUAAUCAACCAGAAACAAAAAAUCUCCUUAAGCUAGUAUAUGUUUUUUAGACGCUUUCAUAUAUAUAUAUAUAUAUAUAUAUAUAAAACAUUAAUUUUUAAUUUUUAUUAUUAUAUGAACUAUUUAACACAAAAUUUAUUAUUUUAAUAGUCGUAAUCAUUUCUAAUAAAAACCCUUUUUACAUUGGAAUUCAACAAUCCCCUCUCUUCACCACUAAAAAUAGAUUGAAAAAAAAAAUUGAUAUCAAAAUUGAAUUUUUAAAUAUUAGAAGGACCGGUUACCGAAAAGCUAAAAAAUUAGAGGACUAAAAUGAAUUUUUAAAAAAAUUCAAAGCCACCCCUUAUUUUACUUUUAUUUUCACUUAAGUUUUUUAUCUUUUAGUUUAACCCUUCCUCUCAAAAAAAAAUAUAAUUGAAUACUAAUUUGGGUUCAAAGUGACUUAAUUUUACAAGAUAUAAAUUCAAGGAUGAAAUUAAGAGCUUUUUAAAAAUUCACUAUUAAAUUCCACAUUGAUAUACGAGAGUAUAAACAAUAAAAUAACUACGGUAAAACCAAUAUCUCUUUUAUAUAAUAAUAAUAUAACUCGAUAACUCUCUGCCACGAUUGAGGACGUCAUACAAUACGUUGUAUAAAAACAAACAAGUAGCGAUGAAUUCCACCCAUUUUGAGUCUUUGCUUUUGUCAAAAAAGAAUAAAAUAAAAUAGACGAUGUACCCUUCUAUCUACAAGAAAAAAACAAAAAAAAAGCAUCCACAAUUAGUCAGUCAAUUUGCUAGCCUAUGUAUAUACACGCGCCCUCUGAGUCCAUUCCACUGCUAAACUCAUCACUUCAUUAUUUUCAGUAUGGAAAGCUGGUUCCUUAUCCUUGUCUCCAUUUCCAUCUCUCUCUUCUUGAAAAUUAUCUUCAACAAUUCUUAACCACUAAAAACCUACCUCCAGGUCCCCUAUCCUUUCCUUUCAUCGGCCACUUACUAUGGCUCCGUAUGUCCGCCUUCAAGAUGAGCCAAUCCUUCGAUCCCUCCAUGCCAAGUUUGGCCCCAUGGUUACCCUCCGUAUUGGCACUCGCCCUGCUAUCUUCGUUGCAGAUCGCACCCUUGCUCACGAGGCUUUAAUACGUGGCGGCGCAGUUUUUGCGGACCGCCCGGCUGCUGCUACGAGAAAAUUUUUAAGUAGUACAUAAUAUUAGUUCUUCCUUUUACGGUCCAACAUGGCGACUUCUGCGGCGUAACCUCACGGCGGAAAUCCUCCACCUAUCGCGUGUGAAAUCUUACAGUCAUGCACGCAACUGGGUUCUGCAAAUCCUCCAGAAUCGCUUCGAAUCUCAAGCGAAAGCCGGUCGUCCUAUUUGUGUAAUGGAACAUUUUCAAUAUGCCAUGUUUUGUCUACUCGUCCUGAUGUGUUUUGGAGACAAGCUUGAUGAAAAUCAGAUAAAAAAAAUUAUGGAAGUUCAGCGACAAAUGAUAGUGAAUUUUAGUAAGUUCAACAUACUCAAUUUCUGGCCAGGAGUGACAAAGAUCGUGUUGCGCAACCGUUGGAGGGAGUUGUUUUCCCAUCGAAAAUGCCAAGAAGAUGU